UACGGAAGGUGCAAGCGUUAGUCGGAAUUAUUGGGCGUAAAGGGUGCGUAGGCUGUUAUGAACGUUGAUGGUGAAAUACUGGGGCUCAACCUCAGCACUGCCUUCAAAACGGCAUAACUUAGAGGAAUGGCGGAGAAAAUGGAAUUCCAUAUGUAGCGGUGAAAUGCGUAGAUAUAUGGAAGAACACCUGUGGCGAAAGCGGUUUUCUAGCCUCCUCCUGACGCUGAGGCACGAAAGCAAGGGGA
rnacentral:rRNA from 1 species